GUCCUGGCUCAGGAUGAACGCUAGCGACAGGCUUAACACAUGCAAGUCAAGGGGCAGCACAGGUAGCAAUACCGGGUGGCGACCGGCGCACGGGUGAGUAACGCGUAUGCAACUUACCUAUCAGAGGGGGAUAACCCGGCGAAAGUCGGACUAAUACCGCAUGAAGCAGGGGUCCCGCAUGGGGAUAUUUGCUAAAGAUUCAUCGCUGAUAGAUAGGCAUGCGUUCCAUUAGG
rnacentral:rRNA from 1 species